UUCUGGCAGUGUAGUAAUAAAGACCAGCUUUAUUUUGUCAUUAUCAGAAUACGAGGCAGCCUAAUGGUUAGAGUGUAGAGGUGGCAGGGUAGCCUAGUGGUUAGAGUGUAGAGGUGGCAGGGUAGCCUAGUGGUUAGAGUGUAGAGGUGGCAGGGUAGCCUAGUGGUUAGAGUGUAGAGGUGGCAGGGUAGCCUAGUGGUUAGAGUGUAGAGGCGGCAGGGUAGCCUAGUGGUUAGAGUGUAGAGGUGGCAGGGUAGCCUAGUGGUUAGAGCGUUGGACUAGUAACCGGAAGGUUGCAAGUUCAAACCCCCGAGCUGACAAGGUACACAUCUGUCAUUCUGCCCCUGAACAGGCAGUUAACCCACUGUUCCUAGGCCGUCAUUGAAAAUAAGAAUUUGUUCUUAAAACUGACUUGCCUAGUUAAAUAAAGGUUAAAUAAAAAAAAUACUUACAUUUUUUUUUUUUACAUCUUCUGUUUUCAUUAAGAAGUGAUUCUGGUAUUUCAACACUUCACGUUAUAUUCACAGUGUUGACUAAUUUAAUCUAUUUGCGAAUCACACAACUCUCACACUAACUAGUCUGUCUGCACACAGAAAACAACUAGCCAGAGUUACUGUACCAAUGAAGGACAACCAUGGAGGGAUCUAGCAGAAUGGGGAACGCCACCAAAAGCUACCAUUCUUUUCUCUCACUUAAACCAACGGUAGUUUGAAACAGAGACAUCACCCCUUUCAUUGUUUUAUCAUUUGUUAUGGGUGUAAUUGAAGGGCAUUUGAAAAUGUUGCCAUGGUUUUUGUCCUAAACACAGUCCUGGUUUGACACAUGCAUGACUGAGAAAUCACAGUAAAUGGUUUGAAUACUGUAGACUACCUGGUGAUGGUCAUCAACCAGAGGUUUGAAUACUGUAGACUACCUGGUGAUGGUCAUCAACCAGAGGUUUGAAUACUGUAGACUACCUGGUGAUGGUCAUCAACCAGAGGUUUGAAUACUGUAGACUACCUGGUGAUGGUCAUCAACCAGAGGUUUGAAUACUGUAGACUACCUGGUGAUGGUCAUCAACCAGAGAUGUGAAUACUGUAGACUACCUGGUGAUGGUCAUCAACCAGAGGUUUGAAUACUGUAGACUACCUGGUGAUGGUCAUCAACCAGAGGUUUGAAUACUGUAGACUACCUGGUGAUGGUCAUCAACCAGAGGUUUGAAUACUGUAGACUACCUGGUGAUGGUCAUCAACCAGAGGUUUGAAUACUGUAGACUACCUGGUGAUGGUCAUCAACCAGAGAUGUGAAUACUGUAGACUACCUGGUGAUGGUCAUCAACCAGAGAUGUGAAUACUGUAGACUACCUGGUGAUGGUCAUCAACCAGAGGUUUGAAUACUGUAGACUACCUGGUGAUGGUCAUCAACCAGAGGUUUGAAUACUGUAGACUGGUGAUGGUCAUCAACCAGAGAUGUGAAUACUGUAGACUACCUGGUGAUGGUCAUCAACCAGAGGUUUGAAUACUGUAGACUACCUGGUGAUGGUCAUCAACCAGAGGUUUGAAUACUGUAGACUACCUGGUGAUGGUCAUCAACCAGAGGUUUGAAUACUGUAGACUACCUGGUGAUGGUCAUCAACCAGAGAUGUGAAUACUGUAGACUACCUGGUGAUGGUCAUCAACCAGAGGUUUGAAUACUGUAGACUACCUGGUGAUGGUCAUCAACCAGAGGUUUGAAUACUGUAGACUACCUGGUGAUGGUCAUCAACCAGAGAUGUGAAUACUGUAGACUACCUGGUGAUGGUCAUCAACCAUAGGGUUGGAAUACUGUAGACUACCUGGUGAUGGUCAUCAACCAGAGGUUUGAAUACUGUAGACUACCUGGUGAUGGUCAUCAACCAGAGGUUUGAAUACUGUAGACUGGUGAUGGUCAUCAACCAGAGGUUUGAAUACUGUAGACUACCUGGUGAUGGUCAUCAACCAGAGAUGUGAAUACUGUAGACUACCUGGUGAUGGUCAUCUUGAACCUCAAAAGGAAAUGAAUUGGCUUUGACCAAAAUGUCAGAACACUUAUCAACCACUUUUCAGAGUGUUCUGACUCAAGUUAAGAUCCCAGGAGACUUUUGUAAUAAAAAUAAUAAAUAAAAAUAAAAUGUAUAACAUGUUCAAUGGCUUUGUGUUUAAUAAUCAGAUGUGAAACUUUAAAACUGGAUUGUUAUCAUCUUGGACGUAAUAUCUUGGACGUAAUAUCUUGGACGUAAUAUCUUGGACGUAAUAUCUUGGACGUAAUAUCUUGGACGUAAUAUCUUGGACGUAAUAUCUUGGACGUAAUAUCUUGGACGUAAUAUCUUGGACGUAAUAUCUUGGACGUAAUAUCUUGUGUUUUUACCAUAUCGUCUUGUCCGCUGUGAGAAUUCAAUCAAAUCAAAAAAACACAUUGAAAUUGACUGUCAUGGGUAAUACAACGGUUUUUUUUUGUUCAUUAGGGGUGAAUUAACUUUCACUUUUACGAGCAUUAGAGUACACGAGAGAACCAAAUCUAUACAUUUAUUCUCAUUCACCACACUGAAAGAUCGCCAAGGACUGUUUACCAUCUUGGCAAGCGGUGUCGGAGUGUCACGUCUCGGACCAACUGGCUCAGAGACAGCUUCUACCACCAGGCCACCAGACUGCUGAAAAGUUCAACCUAGUCGUCUCCCUGCACAGAUCUGCACCUAAGAGACUAUAUGCACCAUAGAUAUAAUUUGCACCGACUACCAACACAAUCAACCCUUACACACAAACAAACAGACACGCAAACACACAGUCUUGUUUUACUAACCUUGUGCAGAGACACAAUUGAUUCCCAUUUAAAUCACAUUUUCCCUAACCCUAAACCUUACCCUAACCCUAAACCUUACCCUAACCCCUAAACCUUACCCUAACACCUAAACCUUAUCCUAACCCCUAAACCUUACCCUAACACCUAACCUUACCCUAACCCCUAAACCUUACCCUAACACCUAACCCCUAACCCUAACCCCUAACCCUAAACCUUAUUCUAACCUCAAAACACAACAACCCUAAACCUUACCCUAACCCCUUAACCCUAACCCCAAAACAUAACAACCCUAAACCUUAUUCUAACCCCAAAACAUAACAACCCUAAACCUUAUUCUAACCCCAAAACAUAACAACCCUAAACCUUAUUCUAACCCCAAAACAUAACAACCCUAAACCUUAUUCUAACCCCAAAACAUAACAACCCUAAACCUAACCCCUUAACC